UACGUAGGGCGCAAGCGUUGUCCGGAAUUAUGGGGCGUAAAGAGCUCGUAGGUGGCUUGUCGCGUCGGGUGUGAAAGCUUGGGGCUUAACUCCAGGUCUGCAUUCGAUACGGGCUGGCUAGAGGUAGGUAGGGGAGAACGGAAUUCCUGGUGUAGCGGUGAAAUGCGCAGAUAUCAGGAGGAACACCGGUGGCGAAGGCGGUUCUCUGGGCCUUACCUGACGCUGAGGAGCGAAAGCGUGGGGAGCGAACAGG
rnacentral:rRNA from 1 species